rnacentral:rRNA from 1 species
CACGCUGUAAACGAUGGAUACUAGGUGUAGGAGGUAUCGACCCCUUCUGUGCCGGAGCAAACGCAAUAAGUAUCCCGCCUGGGGAGUACGGCCGCAAGGUUGAAACUCAAAGGAAUUGACGGGGGCCCGCACAAGCAGCGGAGCAUGUGGUUUAAUUCGAAGCAACGCGAAGAACCUUACCAGGUCUUGACAUCCUGCUAAAGCUAUUGAAAGGUAGCGUCCCGCAAGGGGAGCAGAGACAGGUGG